AUGAAUAAUACAGACAAUACGGUGUUGCCAAGCAAUCAUGUGUCUGACUCUAUUGCUGUCUGCUUGACUUUAGGGUGUCCUCUAAGCCUGAGACUGUCAGGGUGUAUCCGCUCUCCGCACACAGCCCUCCGGCUCUGCUGCCCCUCUCCUCCUGCAGUCAGCAGUGCUUGGUGUCAGCUCUGUCCUCCCCCCAGGCUGUCCCUCUCCAUACUGUGGUCCAGGCUCAAGACCCUGAGGUCACUCUGUCUGAGGAGGGAUACGGCCUGGUUGUGGACAGAUACAAGGGCAUCAUCUCUGUUGAGCGGGAAACAGCUACUGUCACCGCCCUCAAGCCAGGUCAUGCGACACUAACGGUUACACACAACAGUAUCCAACACAACUGUGUUUUUCAAUGAAACAUUAUGUUGUGGGGCAUAUGAGUGUAUUGUUAUGAUUCCAAGCUCAAUUGUGAUUCAGAUCUGCCCCCUGAAAUAACGUCCCAACUCCCUCGCACUUCUGUAUAUGUGGUGAAGCCCAGGUAUAUGAGUGAGUUACACACAAAACACACAGAAAAUAUAUUAAACCACACACCUGUAUUAAGGUUUAGUUACAUUUGUCUGUGUGUCUCAGCGUUGAGUAUUGAGGAGGGAGAGGAAAGAUGGGUGUUGGAGACAGGGCGGCAGUAUUAUUUGACUGUUCGUAUCCAUGGCAACAAGGCCCAUGUUGUUCACCUGUCACAGGUUGUGCUUCAUAGUCAUCGGUUUAUGCACUGUUUGCUUCACUGCAUUUCUUGACAGGAGCAUAGCGUCUGAACUUUAACCCUGUGCAGAAUGUGAUGAUUGUUGUGGAGGAGACUGAGGGGUUAGUGACACUUGAGUCUUUGUCUGAUCCUGCCUGCCAUCUCCUUCAGACCAUCAUGAAAGGAAAGACUUUAAAACAGGCCUCACUUUAUAGCAUCGUCUCUGAGGUAACACACUCACAAAUAUAUACACACUAAGAUUUGAUAAUUAAUUGGUGCAGGAAAUU
ensembl:lncRNA